ACAAGCGGUGGAGCAUGUGGUUAAUUCGACGCAACGCGAAGAACUUACCUGGGUUGACAUCUCCGGAAUCUCUAUGAAGUAGAGAGUGCCCUUCGGGGAGCCGGAAGACAGGUGCUGCAUGGCUGUCGUCAGCUCGUGUCGUGAGAUGUUGGGUUAAGUCCCAUAACGAGCGCAACCCUUACCGUUAGUUACCAUCAGGUUAAGCUGGGGACUCUAGCGGGACUGCCACCGUAAGGUGAGAGGAAGGUGGGGAUGACGUCAAAUCAGCACGGCCCUUAUGUCCAGGGCUACACACGUGUUACAAUGGCCAGUACAAAGGGCAGCUACCGGGUGACCGGAUGCUAAUCUCUAAAGCUGGUCUCAGUUCGGAUCGAAGUCUGCAACCCGACUUCGUGAAGCUGGAUUCGCUAGUAAUCGCGCAUCAGCCAUGGCGCGGUGAAUACGUUCCCGGGCCUU
rnacentral:rRNA from 1 species